UCUUCCUCAUUAUUUGAGCAGUAAUUUGUUAUUUAGUAUUAAGGUACCUUGCACAGUUGCGUCAGUUGCGUUGCUUUGUAAACUCCCACAGUUUUAUACCAAUUUGAAAAACGUAGCGUUCGCAAUGAACAAAAAGGAUUGAAAAAGAGAAAGAAAGUAUUGGAGAGUCUAAACCGAAACAGAGCCGACGUCAGGGAGAAUCUGCGCCUGAGAUGUCGGUCGGACGUGCGUAUGUUGUUGAAUCGCCAGCGGUCGGUAAAUUGUUAAGACUAACUUCGGUUUAAGAUAAUUGAUUGUAUCCAAAAGACACAAUUUAUGAAUGGAAAAAUGUAUAUACAAAUAAUGUCACAUGGACGUGGUAAAGUAGCUUCUUUAAGUCGUAUGUUGAAAGUAUUAUAAUACCAACUUCUAGGGAGAACAAUUUUCUGAAUACAUAGAAUGUAAUUUGCUACAUUUCUGGCGCAAACAUAAUUCUGUGAACUAACACAGACUUAGAAUUAAUCCCGCGGGAUUGAAGAAAUGAAAAGUAAUGAAGUGAACUAACUCUACUUGAACAUUAUAACAUGGUGUUUCUACCUUUCUAACGAACUUCUACUUCACAAAGAAUUUCAAGGAAAUUAGUAACGAUGAUUCUAAAAAACAAACUAAAAAUUGCGACCAACGGUGUUUCAAACAAAGAUUGCUAGGCGUAAAGAAAUAUUAUCAAAUAGUAUCAAAAAGUAUACAAAAUUUAUCAAAUUAUAACCUAUAAUGAGAGAUGAAAUGCUAUUCUAAAGCAAGGGGUAAAAAUGACUAUAGAUUCUUUUUAAUUAUUAUUCUCUUUAAUUGUUAUAGUCUUAAUUAUUAUUGAGCUGAUUUAUUAAAAACAAUAGAACUCGCUUGGUAUGUAAAAUCUACCUGCGAUCUAAAAUCUACCUAACCUUUGUACAACAAACAAAAGAAAACAGACGUUAUCACUGUUAAGGCAGUGAUGUAGCUGCACAUGAGAGUAGAAAGUCAACGGAAAAUUGGAAUCUGGGAGAAACCCAUAUUAUCGUGUCUUUGAAUAUGUUGAGGUUGACAGAUAGAGGAACGAGUGAAUGAAUUUGAAAUAGAAAAAUAUAUAGAAAUACAAGUAUAAGUACAAGUAUAGUGUAUGAGGUGAAAAUCAAAUAAAUUGUUAUCACUAUUUAUUAAUUUGAUGUAUGAUAUUGUUGAGGUUAAGUGAUAGAGGGACGAGUGGAUGAAGUGGAACAGAAAAGUAUAUUGAAAUAAGUAUGGGCAUAAGUAUAAGUACAGAGGUUGACUGAUAAAGCAACGAGUGGAUGAAUUUGUAAUGGAAAAAUAUAUUGAAACAAGUAUAAGUAUAGUAUAAAUAUAGUUAAGAUCAAAUAAACUGUUGCCAUUAUUUAUUAAUUUGAUGUAUGAUAUUGUUGACGUUAAGUGAUAGAGGGACCAGUGGAUGAAGUGAAACAGAAAAGUAUAUUGAAAUAAGUAUGGGCAUAAGUAUAAGUACAGAGGUUGACUGAUAAAGCAACGAGUGGAUAAAUUUGUAAUGGAAAAAUAUAUUGAAACAAGUAUAGGUAUAAGUAUAGUGUAUGCUGAUGCAGAUCUGCACUCUUAUAGUGUUACAAUACAAUAAAAAGAAGAAUAAGGAGCACAUUCAUAUAUUUAUAGCAAAUGACAUUACCAAAAAGUUAACCUUGGUCACGGAUAUACAAAAGCAAAGAUGUAGAGUUUCUUUUGAAGUAAUUACUUCAACAGAAUACUAACGACUGUUUUGGUUUGCAAGUUCCAGAGGUAAACGUACUCCCAACAAAUUGUUAUUGCCGUUUCUUCUAAUCUUCAGCCAGAGUUACAUAAGAAUAUUAACUUUUUGUUCUACCGUCUGUCGAUAUAAAUAGAUGAACGUGCCCCCUA
rnacentral:lncRNA from 11 species